AUUGAACGCUGGCGGCAGGCCUAACACAUGCAAGUCGAACGAGCGGCGGACGGGUGAGUAAUGUCUGGGAAACUGCCUGAUGGAGGGGGAUAACUACUGGAAACGGUAGCUAAUACCGCAUACCAUCGGAUGAGCCGUGAUGGGAUUAGCUAGUUGGUGGGGUAAAGGCUCACCAAGGCGACGAUCCCUAGCUGGUCUGAGAGGCUGACCAGCCACACUGGGACUGAGACACGGUCAAGACGCCUACGGGAGGCAGCAGUGGGGAAUAUUGCACAAUGGGCGCAAGCCUGAUGCAGCCAUGCCGCGUGUAUGAAGAAGGCCUUCGGGUUGUAAAGUACUUUCAGCGGGGAGGCGUUACCCGCAGAAGAAGCACCGGCUAACUCCGUGCCAGCAGCCGCGGUAAUAC
rnacentral:rRNA from 1 species